rnacentral:rRNA from 1 species
ACUCCUACGGGAGGCAGCAGUGAGGAAUAUUGGACAAUGGGCGGGAGCCUGAUCCAGCCAUGCCGCGUGCAGGAAGACUGCCCUAUGGGUUGUAAACUGCUUUUAUACGGGAGGAAACACCCCCUCGUGAGGGGGCUUGACGGUACCGUAAGAAUAAGGAUCGGCUAACUCCGUGCCAGCAGCCGCGGUAAUACGGAGGAUCCAAGCGUUAUCCGGAAUCAUUGGGUUUAAAGGGUCCGUAGGUGGACCGUUAAGUCAGAGGUGAAAUCCUGCAGCUCAACUGUAGAAUUGCCUUUGAUACUGGCGGUCUUGAAUCAUUGUGAAGUGGUUAGAAUAUGUGGUGUAGCGGUGAAAUGCAUAGAUAUCACAUAGAAUACCGAUUGCGAAGGCAGAUCACUAACAAUGCAUUGACACUGAUGGACGAAAGCGUGGGGAGCGAACAGGAUUAGAUACCCUAGUAGUC